rfam:Sphingomonas sp. G39 SPHI_contig000014, whole genome shotgun sequence.
CCCAUGGGGAAUGCGAUCUCCCCACGAGGCGUCAGCUAAAGAAUCGCGUCCAGCUCAUCACGCAAAGGACGCGCCAUG